CAGCAGCCGCGGUAAUACGUAGGUGGCGAGCGUUGUCCGGAAUUACUGGGUGUAAAGGGCGUGUAGGCGGGGAUAUAAGUCGGAUGUGAAAUACCGAGGCUUAACUUCGGGGGUGCAUCUGAAACUAUAUUUCUUGAGUACUGGAGAGGGAAGCGGAAUUCCUAGUGUAGCGGUGAAAUGCGUAGAUAUUAGGAGGAACACCAGUGGCGAAGGCGGCUUCCUGGACAGUAACUGACGCUGAGGCGCGAAAGCGUGGGUAGCGAACAGGAUUAGAUACCCUGGUAGUCCACGCCGUAAACGAUGGAUACUAGGUGUAGGAGGUAUCGACCCCUUCUGUGCCGGAGUUAACACAAUAAGUAUCCCACCUGGGGAGUACGGCCGCAAGGUUGAAACUCAAAGGAAUUGACGGGGGCCCGCACAAGCAGUGGAGUAUGUGGUUUAAUUCGAAGCAACGCGAAGAACCUUACCAGGGCUUGACAUCCCUCGCAUACCAUAGAGAUAUGGUAGUCCUUCGGGACGAGGAGACAGGUGGUGCAUGGCC
rnacentral:rRNA from 1 species